ensembl:lncRNA
UUUCCAUUACACUGCCUUCUUACCAUCAGCGUGGAAAAUGAUUUAACAAGAGGAAUAGUCUAGCUAAUGUGGUUCCUUGUUCCUGAGAAAGAAGCCAACAUGUAAACACUGACAUGGACAUUAUCAGCCCAUCAUGACUGGAACUGAGAUGGUCAGACUGGGCUAUGAUAUGACGCAUCACAAAUGGCUUCCUAUUCCCUAUAUAGUACACUGCUUUUGACCAGAGCCCUAUAGGCCCUAGUGGUAAAACGUUUUGCACUAUAUAGGAAAUCGGAUGUCAUUUGUGACCCUAUACUACUAUGUACUCAGUACUGUACUAGCAUGGCAACCUGUUCCCUGUUCUGAUGAGGGAAUUAGUGGGAUUCAUGCAAAAGAUAAACACGUGUCAAAUAAAACACAAAGACUACAUUUACACAGGCAGCACAAUUCUGAUAUUUUGCCAGUAAUUGGUCUUUUGACCAAUCAGAUCAGAUCCUUUGCCAAUAAUUAGGUACAUUUUCAGAAUUGGGCUGCCUGUAUAAACACAGACAAAGUUUCAUGACCACAACAUUUGAGUCACCACCUCUGUAGAUAUUUUGGUAUUUACUCAACCAACCUCUCCAAAACCUUAUUUAUUUGGAUGACACUUUGCUCUCUGGUGUUGUUGCGUGUAUUGUUAAUGCUUGUUGCAUUAAUAUCUUCUCCCUCUUCUGUCCCUCUUGCCUCUGCCUUACUGUUGUUGAACUUAGCCCUGGCGGGUAAGAGAACACUCGUGUGUGUGUGUGUACGUUCAUACGCUCGUGUGUGUGUGUGUGUGUGUGUGUGUGUGUGUGUGUGUGUGUGUGUGUGUGUGUGUGUGUGUGUGUGUGUGUGUGUGUGUGUGUAUGUGUGUGUCUUUAGACCUAACUUCUCACAGAGUUGUCAAUCAGUUGUAAUUUGAUGCUGAAAAGCAGGCUAUGGGUUGGGUUGUGCAGUGGGGUGGGACAAUGGAGUCCAUCUGUAUCUCUGGUAACAGUCAACUUCUAAUGCAUCAUCUGAUCUGGGGCGCUUUACAAAUGGCACCCCAUUCCCUAUAUAGUGUACUACUUUAGACCAGAGGGCCCUGGUCAGAAGUAUAGUAUAUAAGAAAUAGGGUGCCAUUUGGGACUCAGACAGGGUUCAUUCACCUGUUGUCUGUUCACUGAACCACUUUAGCCUUCUCAUCCUAAUGCAUUUCUUCCAUUCACCGUACUGACACAACACCUCUUUACCAUCGAUAAAGUGGGUCUUAUAGUGGGCCAUGUAGAGGUCUUAUAGUGGGCCAUGUAGUGGUCUUAUAGUGGGCCAUGUAGUGGUCUUAUAGUGGGCCAUGUAGUGGUCUAAUAGUGGGCCAUGUAGUGGUCUUAUAGUGGGCCAUGUAGAGGUCUUAUAGUGGGCCAUGUAGUGGUCUUAUAGUGGGCCAUGUAUCGGUCUUAUAGUGGGCCAUGUAGCGGUUUUAUAGUGGGCCAUGUAGUGGUCUUAUAGUGGGCCAUGUAGCGGUCUUAUAGUGGGCCGUGUAGUGGUCUUAUAGUGGGCCAUGUAGCGGUCUUAUAGUGGGCCAUGUAGCGAUCUUAUAGUGGGCCAUGUAGUGGUCUUAUAGUGGGCCAUGUAGCGAUCUUAUAGUGGGCCAUGUAGAGGUCUUAUAGUGGGCCAUGUAUCGGUCUUAUAGCGGGCCAUGUAGUGGUCUUAUAGCGGGCCAUGUAGUGGUCUUAUAGUGGGCCAUGUAGCGGUCUUAUAGUGGUCCAUGUAGCGGUCUUAUAGUGGGCCAUGUAGCGGUCUUAUAGUGGGCCAUGUAGCGAUCUUAUAGUGGGCCAUGUAGUGGUCUUAUAGUGGGCCAUGUAGCAAGUGGUCCAUGUAGCGGUCUUAUAGUGGGCCAUGUAGCGGUCUUAUAGUGGACCAUGUAGCGGUCUUAUAGUGGACCAUGUAGCGGUCUUAUAGUGGACCAUGUAGCGAUCUUAUAGUGGACCAUGUAGUGCUUGUGUAUGUUCAGAUCUGUGUUUGUGUGGCCAUAAUAAUGUGUUUGUCUACGACAUUGUUUCAAACAACCCUCUGAAUCCUAAAUAUAACACAUUGACUUCUUCCUAAAUGGGAUCUGUGCACUUUUGACACUUUUGACAUGAUUUAGGAAUAAUGCUGAAUUCCAAAUAACUCCAUUAUAGAAAGUAUUGUUUAUUCCAGAUGCUGACAUCUUCCUAACAUAACCUCUAACCCUCUCUAGACCCAAUGUACAAUUUCAAGGAUAUGUUUGACUUGAUUUAGCCCCUGGUGACAGUCUCUACAAACAUUUCAAAUUCCUUGGGUGUUUUGUCAUUGUGAUUUAA